rnacentral:misc_RNA from 1 species
CGAUAAACACGGCCCCUAGGAAGCAUCUGUGGCUGCAUCAGGGGAAGUGGUUGCUGAGGUUGCACUGGGCCUGCUCCAGAUCUCCGGCCACCCGGGCGCUGAGCCUGCUGACUCGGUUGGACCAUUGGAACAAAAAAAAUUUGGCCUCAUUCCAGGAACCAGUUGCUGCUGAUAACCAAGCCCAUGCUGGGGAGGGACAAUAGCAGGAGGACCUUGACCAUAGAAUAGUUGCUGUCCAAUCCCUGGAGUUCCAGAGGGAUAGAUUGGCAUACGAGGGCCAACUGCAGGUACCAUUGCAGGAGGACGCAUUUGUGAAAACUGUGCCUGCAACCUGGCUUUUCUUUCUUCUUUCCUUUGUGCAAGUGCAACAUACAAUGGCUUGCCAACUACCAUUUUACCAUUCAUCUCUGCGAGAGCUCGAGAUGCUUCUUCAGCACUUGAGAAGGCCACAAAGCCUGAUCCUCUACUUACACCAUUUGGGUCACACAUAACCUUGCAUGA